AUUAAUUUUUGUUUUGCCAUUCUUACAAUAAUCUGGAACAGAACUGCAACGAACUUACUGUGGGAAAGAAAUUUGCACGAGAAUAUUCAAGAUUACGACCAGAAGACAGCUACAGAGAACGUAGAACACCAUAUUACCGAUCAAAUGAAGAUAAAUUUACGGUGGAUGAUCUGGCAAAAGCAAUAUGGUGGAAUAAAUAUAAUUCGUAAUUCAAUACCUAUUCAUCUCAAUAUUGCAUUAGAUCGCAUUUGCUUCAAUUAUCAAAACUUUUUUUCAACUCGACUGUAAAUGUAUAAUUUUUCAGAAAUACCAAUAAGCAUGACUUAAGUAUUUUUAGUUUUCGCAUACCUACUCAGUAAGUUUCAUUUAUUUGUGUUAAUAAUAAAAAUUAUUGAGAAUUUG